rnacentral:rRNA from 1 species
AGGGCUUCCCCUUCGGGGGCAGAGUGACAGGUGGUGCAUGGUUGUCGUCAGCUCGUGUCGUGAGAUGUUGGGUUAAGUCCCGCAACGAGCGCAACCCUUGAUCUUAGUUGCCAGCAUUCAGUUGGGCACUCUAAGGUGACUGCCGGUGACAAACCGGAGGAAGGUGGGGAUGACGUCAAAUCAUCAUGCCCCUUAUGACCUGGGCUACACACGUGCUACAAUGGGCAGAACAAAGGGCAGCGAAGCCGCGAGGCUAAGCCAAUCCCACAAAUCUGUUCUCAGUUCGGAUCGCAGUCUGCAACUCGACUGCGUGAAGCUGGAAUCGCUAGUAAUCGCGGAUCAGCAUGCCGCGGUGAAUACGUUCCCGGGCCUUGUACACACCGCCCGUCACACCACGAGA